AUUGAACGCUGGCGGCAUGCCUUACACAUGCAAGUCGAACGGUAACGCGGGGCAACCUGGCGACGAGUGGCGAACGGGUGAGUAAUGCAUCGGAACGUGCCCAGUAGUGGGGGAUAGCCCGGCGAACGCCGGAUUAAUACCGCAUACGACCUACGGGUGAAAGGGGGGGAUCGCAAGACCUCUCGCUAUUGGACCGGCCGAGGUCAGAUUAGGUAGGUGGUGGGGUAAAGGCCUACCGAGCCGACGAUCUGUAGCUGGUCUGAGAGGACGACCAACCACACUGGGACUGAGACACGGCCCAGACUCCUGCGGGAGGCAGCAGUGGGGAAUUUUGGACAAUGGGCGCAAGCCUGAUCCAGCCAUGCCGCGUGCGGGAAGAAGGCCUUCGGGUUGUAAACCGCUUUUGUCAGGGAAGAAAUCUUCUGGGUUAAUACCUCGGGAGGAUGACGGUACCUGAAGAAUAAGCACCGGCUAACUACGUGCCAGCAGCCGCCGUAAGAC
rnacentral:rRNA from 1 species